UGGGGAAUUUUGGACAAUGGGCGCAAGCCUGAUCCAGCAAUGCCGCGUGCAGGAUGAAGGCCUUCGGGUUGUAAACUGCUUUUGUACGGAGCGAAAAGGUCUGCCCUAAUACGGUGGGCUCAUGACGGUACCGUAAGAAUAAGCACCGGCUAACUACGUGCCAGCAGCCGCGGUAAUACGUAGGGUGCGAGCGUUAAUCGGAAUUACUGGGCGUAAAGCGUGCGCAGGCGGUUAUAUAAGACAGGUGUGAAAUCCCCGGGCUCAACCUGGGACCUGCAUUUGUGACUGUAUAGCUAGAGUACGGUAGAGGGGGAUGGAAUUCCGCGUGUAGCAGUGAAAUGCGUAGAAAUGCGGAGGAACACCGAUGGCGAAGGCAAUCCCCUGGACCUGUACUGACGCUCAUGCACGAAAGCGUGGGGAGCAAACA
rnacentral:rRNA from 1 species